GGCUCUAUGGUCUAGUAGCAUGAUUCCUGCUUUGGGAGGUUGCGCAUUGCGCGAUUCGAUCUUGCAGGAGGUCACGGGUUCAAUUCCCGUUGGAGCCC
rfam:Cylindrobasidium torrendii FP15055 ss-10 unplaced genomic scaffold CYLTOscaffold_66, whole genome shotgun sequence.